UACGUAGGGUGCGAGCGUUAAUCGGAAUUACUGGGCGUAAAGCGUGCGCAGGCGGUUUUGUAAGCCAGAUGUGAAAUCCCCGGGCUCAACCUGGGACCUGCAUUUGUGACUGGAUAGCUAGAGUACGGUAGAGGGGGAUGGAAUUCCGCGUGUAGCAGUGAAAUGCGUAGAUAUGCGGAGGAACACCGAUGGCGAAGGCAAUCCCCUGGACCUGUACUGACGCUCAUGCACGAAAGCGUGGGGAGCAAACAGG
rnacentral:rRNA from 1 species